AUGAAUAUCUACCUUGCAAAGUCUUCGGAGGACCAAGUUCUUAUCCAUGGUCCCAACACUCCGGUCUACAAGUGCAAACUUGUAAACGGACAUGUUAAAGUUGAAACAGUGAGACAAAAAUUCGACAAUAAGGCAGCCAAGUACUCCUACGAUG